GACGAACGCUGGCGGCGUGCCUAAUACAUGCAAGUCGUGCGGACCUUUUAAAAGCUUGCUUUUAAAAGGUUAGCGGCGGACGGGUGAGUAACACGUGGGCAACCUUCCUGUAAGACUGGGAUAACGCCGGGAAACCGGGGCUAAUACCGGAUCGUUCUUCCUCCGCAUGGAGGAAAAAGGAAAGGCGGCUUCGGCCGCCACUUACAGAUGGGCCCGCGGCCCAUUAGCUAGUUGGCGGGGGAACGGCCCGCCAAGGCAGCGAUGCGUAGCCGACAGGAGAGGGAGAUCGGCCCCAUUGGGACUGAGACACGGCCCAAACUCCUACGGGAGGCAGCAGGAGGGAAUCGUCCGCAAGGGACGAAAGGCUGACGGAGCAACGCCGCGGGAGUGAAGAAGGCCUUCGGGUCGUAAAACUCUGUUGCCGGGGAAGAACAAGCGCCGUGCGAACAGGGCGGCGCCUUGACGGUACCCGGCCAGAAAGCCACGGCUAACUACGUG
rnacentral:rRNA from 1 species